UGAAUAAGGUUUUGAGGUUUUAAUUUUUCCCCCUGUCCCAUUCUGCACUCUUCUUUCCCUUCCCUUUAUUUAAGCAAGGAGUUUACAGGAACGAGGUGCCAAAGAAGACAGUGGAAGGGACCUGGGAGGUUUCUUGUCCUAUACAGAAUUUGGGAAAUUUCCUCAGUGCCAGGAGGAAGCAAGAUUUCCAAGAGGAGACAGAGUGGAAGAACAUGCAGGGGAAGAGGCUAGAUCAAGUGUUAUUCCUAAGCUAGGGGCAGAAGAAGGGAAAAGCCUGCAGAUUCUGGAGCCAUUUAACUAUCUGGCAGAGAAGGGAAGACUUCAAGGAACAGGGGCUGAACAUCAGGGUGUAGCAGGGAACUUCAUUUCUCAGUGUCAGAGAAAACAACAACCCCCACCCGUAUCUCUGGACUUGCAUCAAUCUCCAGAAGGUGGGAAAGGAAGAAGGGGACUGCAGUCUGGAUCUACACAUGGGUUCUCUAAAUAGUGAAGUCUGAGACAAAGGCUUGGGUGCAGAUCCACAAUCCCAGAAGGACGGCAGAAGGGCUGCCUACAGAGCAGCACAUUAAUCCACAGCCUUGUCUACACUCAGAGGAUAAUGGCAGGGGGUUGACUAAGAAAAGAGAUAAUACUGCUCCCAGUUGUUGUUUGAUUUAUAAG
rnacentral:lncRNA from 1 species